AAGUCGUAACAAGGUUUCCGUAGGUGAACCUGCGGAAGGAUCAUUAAAGUGUUUCGGAGCCUGGCUCGGGCACCUCAACUCGAGGUGUCGGUGCCAGCGCCCCCACACGUGUUUACUCAACUUGGUUGCCUUGGUGAGCCUGCCCUCGUGGCUGCCGGGGAUGCCUCACGGCGUCCUGGGCUCGUGCUCACCAGUGGAACAUUUGAACUCUUAUGUGAAAAUAGUCAGUCUGAGCAUUAUGCAAAUUAAAUAAAACUUUCAACAACGGAUCUCUUGGCUCUG
rnacentral:misc_RNA from 1 species